rnacentral:rRNA from 1 species
UUUUCUAAGGAAAAGGCAGCAGGCGCGUAAAUUACCCAAUCCUGACACAGGGAGGUAGUGACAAUAAAUAACAAUGCUGGGCCCUUGUGGUUUGGCACUUGGAAUGAGUACAACUCAAAUCCAUUAACGAGAAUCAAUUGGAGGGCAAGUCUGGUGCCAGCAGCCGCGGUAAUUCCAGCUCCAAUAGCGUAUAUUAAAGUUGUUGCAGUUAAAAAGCUCGUAGUUGAAUAUCUGAUGGAAUGAAAACACCUCCUAGGUAUUUUCAGACUGUCUCUGUAGGUGAAAUUUGUUUGGCAUUAGGUUGUCAUUCAAAGGACGUCUACCCUUUACUGUGAAAAAAUCAGUGCGUUCAAAGCAGGCUUACGCCGUUGAAUGUAUUAGCAUGGAAUAAUAAGAUAGGACUUUUUGACUAUUUUGUUGGUUUAUGUUAAAAGGUAAUGAUUAACAGGAACGGCCGGGGGUAUAGGUAUUCCAGAGUCAGAGGUGAAAUUCUUGGAUUUUUGGAAGACUAACUACUGCGAAAGCAUUUACCAAGAAUGUUUUCAUUAAUCAAGAACGAAAGUUAAGGGAUCGAAGAUGAUUAGAUACCAUCGUAGUCUUAACCAUAAACUAUGCCGACUAGGGAUUGGUGGGGUUUCGUAAUGUCCCCAUCAGCACCUUAGGAGAAAUCAAAGUCUUUGGGUUCCGGGGGGAGUAUGGUCGCAAGAACUGAAA